GUUUCCGUAGUGUAGUGGUUAUCACGUGAGUCUAACACACUCAAGGUCCCCGGUUCGAGCCCGGGCGGAAACU
rnacentral:tRNA from 1 species